AACGCGAAGAACCUUACCUAGACUUGACAUCUCCUGCAUUACUCUGUAAUGGAGGAAGUCGCUUCGGCGGCAGGAAGACAGGUGGUGCAUGGUUGUCGCCAGCUCGUGUCGUGAGAUGUUGGGUUAAGUCCCGCAACGAGCGCAACCCUUGCCUUUAGUUGCCAGCAUUAAGUUGGGCACUCUAGAGGGACUGCCAGGGAUAACCUGGAGGAAGGUGGGGAUGACGUCAAAUCAUCAUGCCCCUUAUGUCUAGGGCUACACACGUGCUACAAUGGUCGGUACAAUAAGACGCGAGCCCGCGAGGGGGAGCAAAACUGGAAAACCGAUCUCAGUUCGGAUUGUAGGCUGAAACUCGCCUACAUGAAGUUGGAAUUGCUAGUAAUCGCGGAUCAGCAUGCCGCGGUGAAUACGUUCCCGGGUCUUGUACACACCG
rnacentral:rRNA from 1 species